CAGCCGCCGCGGUAAUACCGGCGGCCCGAGUGGCGGUCACUAUUAUUGGGCUUAAAGCGUCCGUAGCCGGGUUGGGAAGUCCUCCGGGAAAUCUGGCCGCUUAACGGUCAGAAUGCCGGAGGAUACUCCCAGCCUAGGGAGCGGGAGAGGCCGAGGGUAUUCCCGGAGGAGGGGUGAAAUCCUAUAAUCCCGGGAGGACCACCGGUGGCGAAGGCGCUCGGCUGGAACGCGUCCGACGGUGAGGGACGAAGGCCAGGGGAGCGAACCGGAUUAGAUACCCGGGUAGUCCUGGCUGUAAACGAUGCGGACUUUGUGUCGGACAAGCUAUGAGCUUGUCCGGUGCCGGAGGGAAACCGUUAAGUCCGCCGCCUGGGGAGUACGGCCGCAAGGCUGAAACUUAAAGGAAUUGGCGGG
rnacentral:rRNA from 1 species